AACUUUAUCAUACGUAUUGUGUUGGCUAUUGUGUUGGCGUCUUUGCUAGAUUUGAAACAAAAUAAUGUAUUUAAAAUUUACCAUGGAUUUCAAAGUGAAUCUCUAUCUCUAUCUCUAUAUAUACUACUAAAAGAAACCUAAGGUUCCGUUUCCCCUAUUGCGUUGUUCUUUCGUCCGACCCUCGUUGCACUUCGUUCGCCCUCCCGGCUCCCGCACCCCUGGACGCCUCCUGUCCCACGUUAGUUUGUUUCCUCUUAGAACCUUUGAUCAAUUCCCCCUCACUCAUGUCCUGAAUCCACGGGUUGAUUCUAUCUCCUGCCGAUUUGGCUGCCGCCAGAGUCGCUGACACCGCGAUGAGCGCAACCCACCACCUCUCCUUUCCAUCUCACAAGCAGCAGGGGAGAUUGGCAACGUUCUGAGGUCACGGACGCGGGCGUCCUAGGGAUUGGACGUUGCCGUCCGGAGGAACUUGGCCCAUGGGUUCGAGGAUAGUGUGGGCGAGACCUCCUGGCCUCCCAUGGCCGUCGCCGCCGGGUCGUCUCGUCAGGCCCAUACGCUGUCGAUCCGGCCGCUGGCCACGCCCCGAUCAUCUCCUUCCCACUCAGUUCGUCCUCCCCUAGCAUCUUACAUCAAUUCGUCCUCGCAGCGACACCACCGUCUUCCCCUCAUCCCCAAUGACACGCUGCUCCUGAUCGUUGUGGUUCCCCAAUCCGAGUUUGCCCCCAAAAAAAACCUACAUCUUGUUAGCCCCACCUCGCAUCGUCAUUGCCGAAUGGAGGAGGCCGAGGUGGGAGGCAUCGUUACGGCUUUCGGCGACUGAGCCGGUCGGCUGCGGCGGCAGCAGCAGGGAAGAUGCUAUCUGCCAACAUCCUCUCGAGAUCAUGCGUGUAAGUUGCUUCAUGGUCUACCUAUCCUGUUUUUUGCAGGAAAUCCUUUUUUGUUUGUACGAAUCUGAUAGUUUUGAAGUUUGAUAGUUGACACAACACUCAAAUGGCAAGCCCAUGGGGCUCUUGUCAAGGGAAUCAUAUCUGAAGCAGCGUCCAGAUCUGAUAGUUGAUUAGGUGGGUCUUACUAUGUCUGCUACAUCGCCGCAUGAUAUCCAUAUGAGGGAGGAAUCGCUGAAGAAUGAGACAAAGAAAGAAAGUCAUUCAGAUGAGUACUGAAUUCAUUGUAGACAAUUUGGAAGAACAGAUCAGUACACGUUUAGUGAAAUGGCUGUAUGCCUCUGUGCAUACGAUUAAAGGACAUAUUUCUUCUCCAGUCUUAUUUCAUUAUAUGUAUAAUUUUUUGCUCUCAUUUACCUUAUGUCUUUUCAGACCGAACAUUUUUCUUACUCAUACCCAAGACACCAAAUAGAAGGAAGUUGUAGCAGUUUAGAAGUCACAACAGUUGUCAUGUCUAAACUAAAUGCUAGCUAUUUUGAUAUUCUUUUUGGUGGCCAUACCCGAUAUGUUCUUCCGGUAAACAAAUGGCAGCUUGCAAGUGACUAAGGACUUGGGGAGAACCAUCACUACCAACCAAGGAGGACCACAGGAAAGGUAGAACACUACAGUUUGGUCCAUGUUCCGUUAAGGAAAAUUGCAAGGACAAGAACAUUUGAGGGGUUAUCAACACAUGUAGGUUUUGUUUUUCUCUACUGCUUUAGGACAAAAACAAAAAACAAGAGCGAUGAUGAUAUACUAAGAAGAAGGAGAUGACACACAAUAUUGAUCAGUGUCUUUGUCUU